rnacentral:lncRNA from 1 species
GUGCCAUCCGAAUUUGAUUAUAGCCGGCAAAGAUGCCCAUGAAGUUCAGAAGUCAGUGUCCAGAAAUUGCGUCAAUCAGUUGAUCAAUUUUCGACAGAGAAAAACUGUCCUUUGGACAAGCUUUAUUUAGAUUCAUAUAGUGGCCUUUCUCACCAUUAUUACAUUGGUGAGCCAAUUGGGAUAAUUAGCUUCCCUGAUGAAGUCAGCUGCGAGGAGCUUGUCGACUUCUUCGUCGAUGUCCUUCUGCCUUUCAGGUGUAAAAGGUCUUUUUUUUUAUCUCACCGGCUUAACCUUUGGA